rnacentral:sRNA from 2 species
AGCCAAUCCGCGCCACCGGCUGGACAACUGUGGAAACAUGGAACCAUUCAUCGACGCCAGGAACGAGACGGAGUUACCACAGCCCAAGCGCCAACCAGGGCGCCGCCAUUUCUCAUCGCAUUGACGAUUGUUGUAAGGGCCAAGUGUUGCUACUUUUCUCGGCGUGAGAGCACUGACGAGUGACCUCCGUUGAUCGAAGGGAUUGAUUGAUUGACCAUACUAGAAAUUACUAGUAAUAAUGAUAACUGUGCAAGAGCAUGCAUUGAAUUCCGCGAAACGAAUCAAUGAUGACUCUGAUGUACUGGCAAGGAUUUUGGGGACAUAAAUGGUCUGCGAAGCAGUGAUCAAAUCCGACUGGGAUGGUCCAGAGUUCAGCAUUGGAUAGCGAUCGACACCGCCUGAACGGCCCGGGACGUAUCAAAUUUCCCUCGCUGGAGAUGGAGAAAGGGAUUUGAAUACAAGGCGAUACCUCGGAUUGUUGAUCGCAUCGGGAGGUCGAGAUGGAGAGAGCUUUUUUAAAUAGUUUGAGUGAACACGAUUACGCCGUGCAACUGCUGAUUAGUUACAAAG